AUUGAACGCUGGCGGCAUGCCUUACACAUGCAAGUCGAACGGCAGCGGGGGAGAAGCUUGCUUUUCCUGCCGGCGAGUGGCGAACGGGUGAGUAAUACAUCGGAACGUGCCCUGUAGUGGGGGAUAACUAGUCGAAAGAUUAGCUAAUACCGCAUACGACCUGAGGGUGAAAGUGGGGGACCGCAAGGCCUCAUGCUAUAGGAGCGGCCGAUGUCUGAUUAGCUAGUUGGUGGGGUAAAGGCCUACCAAGGCGACGACCAGUAGCUGGUCUGGAAGGACGAUCAGCCACACUGGGACUGCGACACAGCCCAAACUCCUACGGGAAGCAGCAGUGGGAAAUUUUGGACAAUGGGCGAAAGCCUGAUCCAGCAAUGCCGCGUGUUGUAAGAAGGCCUUCGGGUUGUAAAGCACUUUUGUCCGGAAAGAAAUGGCUCUGGUUAAUACCUGGGGUCGAUGACGGUACCGGAAGAAUAAGGACCGGCUAACUACGUGCCAGCCGCCGCCGUAA
rnacentral:rRNA from 1 species